rnacentral:lncRNA from 1 species
CAUGGGGAUAGACGUCAAAGGUCGCGCGCAAGGGGAUGGUAGUCAGGGUGGGCAUGCCCAUGAGGAGGAAGUCCGAGUAGGGUGUGACUUCCUCCUAGGACGUUCAAAAUAAGUGAGGGGAAACAAGCAUGGGAAGUGGUAGAUUUGGUUCCAGCUAACGUGGACACGAGAGGCGGUGGUAAAUGUCCUGAUUUGUGGUCGACGGUGGUGGAGAUGGCGCAUGGGCAAGACUGGAGUAGGGAUUCUAUGUUGAGGCAGGUCAAAAAACAAAACAAACAAAAAGUAGAGGCAUGAGGUGACGAG